rnacentral:rRNA from 1 species
CCUACGGGAGGCAGCAGUGGGGAAUAUUGCACAAUGGGCGCAAGCCUGAUGCAGCCAUGCCGCGUGUGUGAAGAAGGCCUUCGGGUUGUAAAGCACUUUCAGCGGGGAGGAAGGCGUUAAGGUUAAUAACCUUGGCGAUUGACGUUACCCGCAGAAGAAGCACCGGUUAACUCCGUGCCAGCAGCCGCGGUAAUACGGAGGGUGCAAGCGUUAAUCGGAAUUACUGGGCGUAAAGCGCACGCAGGCGGUCUGUCAAGUCGGAUGUGAAAUCCCCGGGCUCAACCUGGGAACUGCAUUCGAAACUGGCAGGCUAGAGUCUUGUAGAGGGGGGUAGAAUUCCAGGUGUAGCGGUGAAAUGCGUAGAGAUCUGGAGGAAUACCGGUGGCGAAGGCGGCCCCCUGGACAAAGACUGACGCUCAGGUGCGAAAGCGUGGGGAGCAAACAGGAUUAGAUACCCGUGUAGUC